GAGGGUAACAGCUCAGUGGUAGAGUGUGUGCUUAGCAUGCAUGAGGUCCUAGGUUCAAUCCCCAGUACCUCCA
rnacentral:tRNA from 1 species